rnacentral:sRNA from 1 species
AACUUUGCACUUAAUGAAAUGAAGACGACUAUUAGCAGAAUAAUAAAGAAUUUCAAAAUUACAUUAGAUGACAAUCACGUUGUUCGAAGAGUACCCUACGUCACUGUGCAACCAGAGAAUGGAGUUUUAAUCUAUGCCACACCUCGCUAAAGAUUCUCAAGAAAAGAUUGUAUAGUUUGAAAUACAUCUACCUUGCAAUGUGUAAAUGUAUACUUUUGAAUAUUUUAACUCAUUGACUAUGUCCCAUAAUUCAUUUGUUUUUAUAAUGGUGUUUUAGCUUGUCUAAAAAUAGAAUCCAAGCUUACCACUGAGCUUAAUGCAUGAUCUUUGGUUAUCACUGAGCUUAAUGCAUGAUUUCUGGUUACCCCUGAGCUUCAUGCAUGAUCUCUGGUUACCCCUGAGCUUAAUGCAUGAUUUCUGGUUACCACUGAGCUUAAUGCAUGAUUUCUGGUUACCACUGAGCUAAUUGUAUGAUCUCUGGAUUUUCUCUGCAUCUUAUUUCUUUCACAACAAUCAAUGUCACUUGAAGGGAAAUGAAAAGAUAAGCUAAGCUAGAUAUCAAAGUACUUAAGGGUAUAAACAAUCAUAAGUUAUAUUACUGUGAUAUAAAUAACAAUUAAAAUACUUUCUAUUGGCAUUGGGCUUGUAUAAAAAAAUACAACUUAAAUACACUUUUGUGUAUGAUAUUUGUAAUAGAACAUGUUCAUAAACUUUUAAAUGUUAAACCUUGCUAUUUUCUUGUUGUGCAUGUGAUCAUUGACACUUAGAUUCAGGUAUCAUUUUUACAUCACAUUUGUUUUGAUUGCUUGUCUCAUGAAAAGGUUCAUAAAAAUUAUGUCUGGAGAUGUGUUAGAACUGAUACUACAAGUUACUCUGUACAUUAGAGUCACGUGUUCAGACCAAGUUUAGCAGCUAAUACUAAAUCUCUUUAUAUAUAUAUUAUUUUUUAAAUUAUAAUUUUAAGUAUAAUCCAAACAUUUGAUGAGAUAAAACCUCCCCCAACUCAAAUGUACAAGGACUGCCUUUUUUUUCACAAAGCUGAUAUUAACUCCAUGUAUCUUUGGGUGGAUUCUUGUACACUUUUAUUUCUGCCUUCUCAUUCUAGGAUCAAGUAGAAACUGUGUACAAUUAUUCAUUGAAUGAAAACAUGAAUCAAUCCAAAAAAAAAAAAAAAUCAACAACAAUUAAUUUCUUAAUUACUUGUGUUUUUUUUUUUUUUAAGAACAAGGGGAGAUAUACAAUACAAUGUUGAUAGAUUGGCAGCGAUUUAACGUGCUCUCCCUUCACUCAAAAAUAUGAUCUGUUGUUUUUUUUUAUAAAGUAUUUUUACUUUGCUUGUUUUUACUAUGAAUGUUAAUUAGCAUGUACCAUAAAUCUUUGACCCCUACAAGGUCUAAAUAAACUAAACUAGUUAAGAUAAAUCUAGACCAGACUAUUCUACAUACGAUUAUACACAUAUAUAAAUAUUUGUCAGCAUUCUAAGUAAAAAUGGAGUAAAGUUUAUAUAACUGCAUACGUUCAUUCUGGCAUAGCGUAACAACAUUUAAAGGUUUAGUUUUCAAAAACGAAAAGUAGUUCAUUUUAUUUACCUCUAUUUAAUUCUUAUUAAUAUUUUGGCUUAAGAAAGAUAAUUUUAUGAUUCUGUUUAUGGUUUAGAUUUGUGGAAUUAUUUUUAGUGCAUUUAGUAAAUAAAGUACUCAGAAUGGCUUUCCUGUGA